GACGAACGCUGGCGGCGUGCUUAACACAUGCAAGUCGAACGGAAAGGCCCUGCUUUUGUUGGGUGCUCGAGUGGCGAACGGGUGAGUAACACGUGAGUAACCUGCCCUUGACUUUGGGAUAACUUCAGGAACCUGGGGCUAAUACCGGAUAGGAGCUCCUGCUGCAUGGUGGGGGUUGGAAAGUUUCGGCGGUUGGGGAUGGACUCGCGGCUUAUCAGCUUGUUGGUGGGGUAGUGGCUUACCAGGGCUUCGACGGGUAGCCGGCCUGAGAGGGUGACCGGCACCAGUGGGACUGAGAUACGGCCCAGACUCCUACGGGAGGCAGCAGUGGGGAAUAUUGCACAAUGGGCGGAAGCCUGAUGCAGCAACGCCGCGUGCGGGAUGACGGCCUUCGGGUUGUAAACCGCUUUCGCCUGUGACGAAGCGUGAGUGACGGUAAUGUGUAAAGAAGCACCGGCUAACUACGUG
rnacentral:rRNA from 1 species